rnacentral:rRNA from 1 species
AUUGAACGCUGGCGGCAGGCCUAACACAUGCAAGUCGAACGAGUGGCGGACGUGUGAAUACUGUCUGGGACACUGCCUUAUGGCGGGGGCUACCUACUGGAAACGGUAGCUAAUACCGCAUACCAGCCGAUUUGCCAAGAUGGGGUUAGCUUGUUGGUGGGGUAACGGCUAACCAGGGCGACGAUCCCUAGCGGGUAGGAGAGGAUGACCGGCCACACUGGAACUGAGACACGGUCCAGACUCCUACGGGAGGCAGCAGUGGGGAAUAUUGCACAAUGGGCGCAAGCCUGAUGCAGCCAUGCCGCGUGUAUGAAGAAGGCCGUCGGUUUGUAAAGCACUUUCAGCGGGGAGGCGUUACCCGCAGAAGAAGCACCGGCUAACUCCGUGCCAGCAGCCGCGGUAAUAC